rnacentral:tRNA from 1 species
GGAGGUGUGCCAGAGCGGUCGAAUGGGGCGGUCUCGAAAACCGUUGAGCACUUAUGUGCUCCGGGGGUUCGAAUCCCUCCACCUCCG